GGUCAAGCUACAAAGGGCUAACGGUGGGAUACCUAGGCACACAGAGCGGCCGCAAA
rnacentral:rRNA from 1 species